CGACACGCGACCCCAGGUCAGGCGGGAUUACCCGCUGAGUUUAA
rnacentral:rRNA from 4 species